rnacentral:rRNA from 1 species
CCUACGGGCGGCUGCAGUGGGGAAUAUUGGACAAUGGGCGAAAGCCUGAUCCAGCCAUGCCGCGUGUGUGAAGAAGGCCUUCGGGUUGUAAAGCACUUUCAGUGGGGAAGAAAGCCUUGGGGCUAAUACCCUCGAGGAAGGACAUCACCCACAGAAGAAGCACCGGCUAACUCCGUGCCAGCAGCCGCGGUAAUACGGAGGGUGCGAGCGUUAAUCGGAAUUACUGGGCGUAAAGCGCGCGUAGGCGGUCUGAUAAGCCGGUUGUGAAAGCCCCGGACUCAACCUGGGAACGGCAUCCGGAACUGUCAGGCUAGAGUGCAGGAGAGGAAGGUAGAAUUCCCGGUGUAGCGGUGAAAUGCGGAGAGAUCGGGAGGAAUACCAGUGGCGAAGGCGGCCUUCUGGACUGACACUGACGCUGAGGUGCGAAAGCGUGGGUAGCAAACAGGAUUAGAUACCCUUGUAGUC